rnacentral:rRNA from 1 species
AUUGAACGCUGGCGGCAGGCCUAACACAUGCAAGUCGAGCGGAUGAAGGGAGCUUGCUCCUGGAUUCAGCGGCGGACGGGUGAGUAAUGCCUAGGAAUCUGCCUGGUAGUGGGGGAUAACGUCCGGAAACGGGCGCUAAUACCGCAUACGUCCUGAGGGAGAAAGUGGGGGAUCUUCGGACCUCACGCUAUCAGAUGAGCCUAGGUCGGAUUAGCUAGUUGGUGGGGUAAAGGCCUACCAAGGCGACGAUCCGUAACUGGUCUGAGAGGAUGAUCAGUCACACUGGAACUGAGACACGGUCCAGACUCCUACGGGAGGCAGCAGUGGGGAAUAUUGGACGAUGGGCGAGAGCCUGAUCCAGCCAUGCCGCGUGUGUGAAGAAGGUCUUCGGAUUGUAAAGCACUUUAAGUUGGGAGGAAGGGCAGUAAGUUAAUACCUUGCUGUUUUGACGUUACCAACAGAAUAAGCACCGGCUAACUUCGUG